UCUCUGGCAUCUUGAAUUUAGGGCCCUUCAGUUUCGCAUCUGGACCUUCAAUAUUCACAUCUGGAACAUCAACGUCCACCUUGGGUCCUGAGACGUCAAGGUCAGCCUUGGGCAGGUUCACGUCCACUUCUGGACCUUCUCCUUUGAAGCCAGGCAUGCUGAUCUUGGGCAUUUUUAUUUUAGGCAUCUUCAGGUGCCAGUCUGGGCCUUGAACACCCACAUCUGGGGCAUUAAUAUCCACUUUGGGCCCCUUGAUGUCAACUUCGGGGCCCUUGAGGUCACCUUCCACUUUG
rnacentral:lncRNA from 1 species